rnacentral:tRNA from 1 species
UUUCUGGUAGCUCAGAUGGUAAAGAAUCUGCCUGCAAUGCAGGAGACCCAGGUUCAAUCUCUGGGUCAGGAAG